rnacentral:rRNA from 1 species
UACGGGAAGGCAGCAGUGGGGAAUAUUGCACAAUGGGCGAAAGCCUGAUGCAGCUAUGCCGCGUGUAUGAAGAAGGCCUUAGGGUUGUAAAGUACUUUCAUCGGGGAGGAAAAAACAAAACUAAUAAUUUUAUUUCUUGACGUUACCCGAAAAAGAAGCACCGGCUAACUCCGUGCCAGCAGCCGCGGUAAUACGGAGGGUGCUAGCGUUAAUCAGAAUUACUGGGCGUAAAGGAGCACGUAGGUGGUUUUUUUAAGUCAGAUGUGAAAUCCCUGGGCUUAACCUAGGAACUGCAUUUUGAAACUGAAAUACUAGAGUAUCGUAGAGGGAGGUAGAAUUCUAGGUGUAGCGGUGAAAUGCGUAGAUAUCUGGAGGAAUACCUGUGGCGAAAGCGGCCUCCUAAACGAAUACUGACACUGAGGUGCGAAAGCGUGGGGAGCAAACAGGAUUAGAUACC